rnacentral:rRNA from 1 species
CUACGGGGCGCUGCAGUGGGGAAUUUUGGACAAUGGGGGCAACCCUGAUCCAGCCAUGCCGCGUGAGUGAAGAAGGCCUUCGGGUUGUAAAGCUCUUUCGGCCGGGAAGAAAUCGCUUCGGUUAAUACCUGGAGUGGAUGACGGUACCGGAAGAAGAAGCACCGGCUAACUACGUGCCAGCAGCCGCGGUAAUACGUAGGGUGCGAGCGUUAAUCGGAAUUACUGGGCGUAAAGCGUGCGCAGGCGGUUUUGUAAGACAGCUGUGAAAUCCCCGGGCUUAACCUGGGAACUGCGGUUGUGACUGCAAGACUUGAGUGCGGCAGAGGGGGGUGGAAUUCCACGUGUAGCAGUGAUAUGCGUAGAGAUGUGGAGGAACACCGAUGGCGAAGGCAGCCCCCUGGGUCGACACUGACGCUCAUGCACGAAAGCGUGGGGAGCAAACAGGAUUAGAUACCCCCGUAGUC